rnacentral:rRNA from 1 species
GAUGAACGCUGGCGGCGUGCCUAAUACAUGCAAGUCGAGCGAACGGACGAGAAGCUUGCUUCUCUGAUGUUAGCGGCGGACGGGUGAGUAACACGUGGAUAACCUACCUAUAAGACUGGGAUAACUUCGGGAAACCGGAGCUAAUACCGGAUAAUAUUUUGAACCGCAUGGUUCAAAAGUGAAAGACGGUCUUGCUGUCACUUAUAGAUGGAUCCGCGCUGCAUUAGCUAGUUGGUAAGGUAACGGCUUACCAAGGCAACGAUGCAUAGCCGACCUGAGAGGGUGACCGGCCACACUGGAACUGAGAAACGGUCCAGACUCCUACGGGAGGCAGCAGUAGGGAAUCUUCCGCAAUGGGCGAAAGCCUGACGGAGCAACGCCGCGUGAGUGAUGAAGGUCUUCGGAUCGUAAAACUCUGUUAUUAGGGAAGAACAUAUGUGUAAGUAACUGUGCACAUCUUGACGGUACCUAAUCAGAAAGCCACGGCUAACUACGUG